rnacentral:rRNA from 1 species
CGUGGGUGACCUGCCUCAAGCUCUGGGAUAAGCCUGGGAAACUGGGUCUAAUACCGGAUAUGACUUCAUGCUGCAUGGUGUGGGGUGGAAAGUUUUUUCGGCUUGGGAUGGGCCCGCGGCCUAUCAGCUUGUUGGUGGGGUGAUGGCCUACCAAGGCUUCGACGGGUAGCCGGCCUGAGAGGGCGUCCGGCCACACUGGGACUGAGACACGGCCCAGACUCCUACGGGAGGCAGCAGUGGGGAAUAUUGCGCAAUGGGCGGAAGCCUGACGCAGCGACGCCGCGUGGGGGAUGACGGCCUUCGGGUUGUAAACCUCUUUCGACCUCGACGAAGCCUUUGGGUGACGGUAGGGGUGGAAGAAGCACCGGCCAACUACGUGCCAGCAGCCGCGGUAACACGUAGGGUGCGAGCGUUGUCCGGAAUUAUUGGGCGUAAAGAGCUCGUAGGCGGUGUGUCGCGUCGGCCGUGAAAACCUGCAGCUUAACU